CGCGACUCAUCGGCGGUAAUAACUAUUAAUCAAAGUUAAUAAAAAAUGAAAAUUUUUCUUAUAAAGUGAUCAAACAAUUUCUUAUUUACUACAAGCAAAGGAGAACAAAUAUGGCUCAAAUUUCAUACUUUAUUUAUACUUUGAUUGUAUUUCUUUCUCUAUUUAUUAUCGCAGCCAAUAGUCAAAUUACAAGUUCUAGUACUCCCUGCAAGCUACCCCGCCAUUGCCCAGCAAAUUUGUGUACUGCUCCUCUAAUUCGGCAGUGCAUUGAUCAUCUAUGUUCGUGUUCGGAAGUAUACUCCCUCCAUAUUUAAUUAUAAGAAAAAAUAAAAAUUUGCUUAUAAUUAAAGACGGAGUAGUAGCAAUUAAGUGAAAAACUAAAUUUUAGGUUAAUUGCAACAAUAGGUAUAGUUUUUUUUUUAUGUUUUUUUUUUAUGAAAACUGUAUAAUUUUAUUUAAUUAAGUUGUAAUGUUGUUAUAAUUUUUCUCACUUUUAUUUGUGUAAUAAAUUUGUUAUUGUUUGUCUUGAAAAGAUUAGAAAAAUUAUAUUAACAUCCCUUGAGGUCAAUUGAAUGAAACAUACAUCUCCUUUAAUUAUACAGACCUACUGGAUAUAAUUUGACUUUU